CUGCGAGUGAAGCGGGAAAAGCUCAAAUUUAAAAUCUGGUGGCCUUUGGUCAUCCGAGUUGUAAUUUAGAGAAGCGUCUUCCGCGCUGGACCAUGCACAAGUCUCCUGGAAUGGAGCGUCAUAGAGGGUGAGAAUCCCGUCUUUGGCAUGGAUGCACCAGGGCUUCUGUGAUGCGCUCUCGAAGAGUCGAGUUGUUUGGGAAUGCAGCUCAAAAUGGGUGGUGAACUCCAUCUAAAGCUAAAUAUUGGCGAGAGACCGAUAGCGAACAAGUACCGUGAGGGAAAGAUGAAAAGCACUUUGGAAAGAGAGUGAAACAGUACGUGAAAUUGUUGAAAGGGAAACGCUUGAAGUCAGUCGCGUCGACCGAGACUCAGCCUCGCCUUGGCUUGGUGUACUUCUCGGGCGACGGGUCAGCAUCAAUUUUGCCCCUCGGAUAAUGACAAGGGAAAGGUAGCACCUUUAUGGGUGUGUUAUAGUCUCCUGUCGCAUGCGAGGGUUGGGAUUGAGGAACUCAGCACGCGCCUUUUGGCGUCGGGGCUUCUGCCUACGUACGUGCUUAGGAUGCUGGCAUAAUGGCUUUAAACGACCCGUCUUGAAACACGGACCAAGGAGUCUAACAUGCCCGCGAGUGUUCGGGUGGAAAACCCGUGCGCGUAAUGAAAGUAAAAGUUGGGACCUCUGUCGUGGAGAGCACAGACGCCCGGACCAGACCUUCUGUGACGGAUCUGCGGUAGAGCGUGCAUGUUGGGACCCGAAAGAUGGUGAACUAUGCUUGAAUAGGGUGAAGCCAGAGGAAAACUCUGGUGGAGGCUCGUAGCGAUUCUGACGUGCAAA
rnacentral:rRNA from 1 species